GCAAAAGACUUAGUCCUAACCUUUCUAUUGGUUUU
rnacentral:rRNA from 1 species